rnacentral:rRNA from 1 species
GGGAUAACCCCGGGAAACUGGGGAUAAUACCGGAUAGGUCAAACUUGCCGGAAGGCUGUUUGGCUGAAACUUCCGGGGCUUUUGGAUGGGUCUGCGGCUGAUUAGGUUGUUGCCGGUGUAACGUACCGUCAAGCCUGUAAUCAGUACGGGUUGUGGGAGCAAGAGCCCGGAGAUGGAUUCUGAGACACGAAUCCAGGCCCUACGGGGCGCAGCAGGCGCGAAAACUCUACAAUGCAGGCAACUGCGAUAGGGGAACAUCGAGUGGCGUCCAUAUUGGAUGUCUGUCCUCCCGCCUAAAAAGCGGGAGUUAGCAAGGGCCGGGCAAGACCGGUGCCAGCCGCCGCGGUAAUACCGGCGGCUCGAGUGGUGGCCGAUAUUAUCGAGUCUAAAGGGUCCGUAGCCGGCUUUGCAAGUCUCUCGGGAAAUCCAGCGGCUUAACCGUUGGUCGUCCGGGGGGUACUACAUUGCUUGGGACUGGGAGAGGUAGGAGGUACUCAGGGGGUAGGAGUGAAAUCCUGUAAUCCUUUGGGGACCACCGGUGGCGAAGGCGUCCUACCAGAACAGGUCCGACGGUGAGGGACGAAAGCUAGGGGCACGAACCGGAUUAGAUACCCGGGUAGUCCUAGCCGUAAACGAUGCUCGCUAGGUGUCACAACAGUCGUGAACUGUUGUGGUGCCGUAGGGAAGCCGUAAAGCGAGCCACUUGGGAAGUACGACCGCAAGGGUGAAACUUAA